CUCCAAAUGGGUCAGAGCCAGAAGGGACAACCUGGGAAAACCCCUUGGAAAAUGACAAUUUAGGAAUCACAGCUCUCACAUAAACAAAGAGGACUCCAGGAGUUCAUGAGAACUAUGAUGCUCUAUGAGGUAUUGGGCUUCCUUCUUGUCUUGGAUUGCUAUGGAAUGAACAUUGGAUUUGUACUCUACUGACCUUGGACUCAAAGCUUAGCUCCAUCACACAAGGUUUUUCAGUAGCUUUUCAUCUAACUCUGCUAACUCAAGUCCUACUGAGAAACAUGACUGUACGAUUUGCAUCCCGAUCCACCCUUGACACUUCUGGCAAAUGGCUGAUCAAUAUAUCCCAGUGCAAAUCCAAUUGCUCAUCUACACUGGCCAGGAGGAUUCUGAGAUUUAUUGAUCUGGGUCCAAGGCCAUUGAAAUA
rnacentral:lncRNA from 1 species